rnacentral:misc_RNA from 1 species
UCAAACUUGGUCAUUUAGAGGAAGUAAAAGUCGUAACAAGGUCUCCGUUGGUGAACCAGCGGAGGGAUCAUUACAGAGUUUUUUAACUCCCAAACCAUUGUGAACUUACCACUGUUGCCUCGGCGGAAGCUGCCCUGCAGCGGCCGCCGGCGGACCACUAAACUAUUGUUAUUUUGUUGGCAUCUGAGCGUCUUAUUUUAAUAAGUCAAAACUUUCAACAACGGAUCUCUUGGUUCUGGCAUCGAUGAAGAACGCAGC